rnacentral:tRNA from 1 species
ACACCUCUAGCUCAACUGGUAGAGCAGCGGCCUCCAAAACCGUAGGUUCUGAGUUCAAAUCUCGGGGGGUGUG